AUUGAACGCUGGCGGCAGGCCUAACACAUGCAAGUCGAACGAGUGGCGGACGGGUGAGUAAUGUCUGGGAAACUUCCCUAUGGGAGGGGGUAACUACUGGAAAAGGUGGCUUAUACCGCAUAUCAUUAGAUGUUACCAGAUGGGAUUAGCUGGUUGGUGGGGUAACGGCUUACCAAGGCGACGAUCCCUAGCCGGUCUGAGAGGAUGACCAGCCACACUGGAACUGAGACACGGUCCAGACUCCUACGGGAGGCAGCAGUGGGGAAUAUUCCACAAUGGGCGAAAGCCUGAUGCAGCCAUGCCGCGUGUAUGAAGAAGGCCUUCGGGUUGUAAAGUACUUUCAGCAGGGAGGCGUUACCCGCAGAAGAAGCCCCGGCUAACUCCGUGCCAGCAGCCGCGGUAAUAC
rnacentral:rRNA from 1 species